GCAGGCUUAACACAUGCAAGUCGAGCGGAGUGAUGGUGCUUGCACUAUCACUUAGCGGCGGACGGGUGAGUAAUGCUUAGGAAUCUGCCUAUUAGUGGGGGACAACAUUUCGAAAGGAAUGCUAAUACCGCAUACGUCCUACGGGAGAAAGCAGGGGAUCUUCGGACCUUGCGCUAAUAGAUGAGCCUAAGUCGGAUUAGCUAGUUGGUGGGGUAAAGGCCUACCAAGGCGACGAUCUGUAGCGGGUCUGAGAGGAUGAUCCGCCACACUGGGACUGAGACACGGCCCAGACUCCUACGGGAGGCAGCAGUGGGGAAUAUUGGACAAUGGGCGCAAGCCUGAUCCAGCCAUGCCGCGUGUGUGAAGAAGGCCUUAUGGUUGUAAAGCACUUUAAGCGAGGAGGAGGCUACUUUAGUUAAUACCUAGAGAUAGUGGACGUUACUCGCAGAAUAAGCACCGGCUAACUCUGUGCCAGCAGCCGCGGUAAUACAGAGGGUGCAAGCGUUAAUCGGAUUUACUGGGCGUAAAGCGCGCGUAGGCGGCUAAUUAAGUCAAAUGUGAAAUCCCCGAGCUUAACUUGGGAAUUGCAUUCGAUACUGGUUAGCUAGAGUGUGGGAGAGGAUGGUAGAAUUCCAGGUGUAGCGGUGAAAUGCGUAGAGAUCUGGAGGAAUACCGAUGGCGAAGGCAGCCAUCUGGCCUAACACUGACGCUGAGGUGCGAAAGCAUGGGGAGCAAACAGGAUUAGAUACCCUGGUAGUCCAUGCCGUAAACGAUGUCUACUAGCCGUUGGGGCCUUUGAGGCUUUAGUGGCGCAGCUAACGCGAUAAGUAGACCGCCUGGGGAGUACGGUCGCAAGACUAAAACUCAAAUGAAUU
rnacentral:rRNA from 1 species